GGGCCGAUAGCUCAAUGGUAGAGCACCGCAUUCGCAUUGCGAAGAUAAGGGUUCGAUUCCCUUUCGGUCCA
rnacentral:tRNA from 1 species